AUUUUAAAUAAUAACCCUUUUGCAAAAUUCAUCUUACACGGUGUUGUUACGGUACAGUGUUUGUUCUCCAAUUACCAUUCUAUGCUAAAACAUAUAAAUCGGUGAGAUUUCUGUUUGUUUAUGUAUAUUUAUUUUCAAUAAUUGGCAAAGCGCCAUGUUCCGAGAGAGAGCUAAACGGGUUUUACUGUCUUCGGCCGAAGAGACCAUUGAGAAGAUUAAGAAAGCCGUAGAUGAAGGCAAUUACUAUGGGGCUCAACAGAUGUACAAAUCUUUCAGUGCGAGAUAUAUUGCCGCCGAGAGGUAUUUGGACACCUUGAAUAUUCUGCAAUCUGGCGCCUGCUUGCAAUUAGAAAAUGGACAGGUUACGUGUGGGGCUGAGCUUGCUGUCCUGUUUGUAGAAGCACUUGUUAAAGGAAAAUUUCCUUAUGAUGAUGAUACUGUUGAUCGUAUCAGGAAAAUCUACAAAAAGUUUCCUCGCAUGCCAGUGCCACAACAUCUGGACCUGGGUGAUGAUGAUGACAUACAACGACUCCAAGAAGCUCUUGGAGCUGCAAAAAUGCGUGUAGAGGGUUGCUCAUCUUUUUUGAAGGCUGCUAUUAAGUGGUCUAUUGAAUAUGGAGCACAUAGGAAUGGAUCUCCUGAACUACAUGAUAUGCUGGCUGAUUAUAUAUAUUCGGAGUCUCCUGAGGUGGAGAUGACCAGAGUGUCAUAUCAUUUUGUUCGAGGGAAGAAUCCGAAGAAGUUUGCUUCAACUCUAGUGAAUUUCAUGGGCAAGUGUUACCCAGGUGAAGAUGAUUUGGCCAUUGCGCGGGCAGUUUUGAUGUACUUAUCUCUUGGCAAUCUGAGAGAUGCUAAUAUCCUUAUGGAUGAAGUGAAGAAGCAAGUUCAAUCUGGAGAAAUUGAUUUUCCUCGAACAGAAUUGAUGCAGCUGACUAAUUAUUUGCUACAGACGUUGCAGAGAGAUGCUUUGCCUCUUUUUAACAUGUUGAGACAGAGAUACAAGUCCACUAUAGACAGAGAACCUGUAUUUAAUGAGGUAUGGACUUUCUCUUCCUACACGGUAUUCCACAUUGUAUGUUUUUGGACUGUACAGUUGAAAGUGCUCUUCUUGUCCUUUUCUCUCUUGCUCGAGGAUAACUCGAUCUUUUGUGGAUAAGUGCCUUUCUUGAUUGCUAAAUAAAUAUUUAUGUUAAUGCCCUCCCUCGUGGUUUAGUUCCUAGAUGAAAUUGCAGAAAAGUUUUAUGGAGUCCAGCGUAGAAAUCCCAUGCAAGGAAUGUUUGGUGAUAUUUUCAAGAUGAUGGCAGGAUAAAAGAUCUUUUAGUCAACCAGGUUGUUGCCAGAUUUCCUGCAUUGAUAAAAUCUCUCGCCUUUGUUGUUAAAAUUUGUGUUUUAAGCUUUGAACCAGGUUACAUUAUAUCAAUAUUUGAUUUUUCUCGACUUCAUAAAUUAUGUACGCUCUUCAGUCUUUUAGAUAACAUAUGUUUUGAAGGGCAUAUCUAUUCUUCCAAGAAACUUUUGAACGAUAAGUGGAAUUUUCUAAGUUUUGUAAUCGAAGUUUGGUGUAUUUUUCA